GAUAGUGCUAGACUUAACCUGUCCCUUGGUUGAACGAGAGAGGAAGAUGAAAGAAGAGAGCAAAGAAACAAAGGGAGAAAAGAUAAGAGAGGAAGAAGUAAGAGAAGAGCAUUGAGAGAGAAGAAGGAAGAAAAGCAGAGAGAGAACGAGAGAGAGGAGAAGCGAGGAAAAGAAGAAAAAGAGAAGAGAAGAGAGGAAGAAGAGGAAGAGUGGAGAGAAGUCAAAAGAGCGAGAAGAAGAAGUGAAGAGAAGAGAGAACACGAAGAGAAGGGAGGAGAAGAAGAAAAGAAGAAGAGAAGAGAAGGGAAGAGAAGAGAGAAGAAGAUA
rnacentral:lncRNA from 1 species